rnacentral:rRNA from 1 species
GUGUAUCUGCUCUCGAAGCAGGUAUUUAUUAUCUAUCACACUUCCAAGAAAAGCUCGAACUACUGUUAAAUAUAAAAUACCUGUACCGUAAACCGACACAGGUAGGUUAGUAGAGUAUACUAAGGGGCGCGAGAUAACUCUCUCUAAGGAACUCGGCAAAAUGACCCCGUAACUUCGGGAGAAGGGGUGCCCACUCUAAAGGUGGGCCGCAGUGACCAGGCCCUGGCGACUGUUUAUCAAAAACAUAGGUCUCCGCAAAGUCGUAAGACAACAUAUGGGGGCUGACGCCUGCCCAGUGCCGGAAGGUUAAGGAAGUAGGUUAGGAUUUAUCCGAAGCUCACGACUGAAGCCCCGGUGAACGGCGGCCGUAACAAUAACGGUCCUAAGGUAGCGAAAUUCCUUGUCGGGUAAGUUCCGACCCGCACGAAAGGCGUAACGAUCAGGGCACUGUCUCGGAGAGAGACUCGGUGAAAUAGACAUGUCUGUGAAGAUGCGGACUACUUGCACUUGGACAGAAAGACCCUAUGAAGCUUGACUGUAGCUUGGAAUUGGGUUCGGGCUUUUCUUGCGCAGCCUAGGUGGGAGGCUAUGAAGAGAUACAUCUGGGUAUCUUGGAGCCAUCAGUGAGAGACCACUCUGGAGAGGCUAGAAUUCUGAUGGCGUUCCUUGAAGCAGGACGCUUGACAGUUUCAGGUGGGCAGUUUGACUGGGGCGGUCACCUCCUAAAAGGUAACGGAGGUGUGCAAAGGUUCCCUCAGGCUGGACGGAAAUCAGCCGUAGAGUGUAAAGGCAGAAGGGAGCUUGACUGCAAGACCUACAAGUCGAGCAGGGGCGAAAGCCGGCCUUAGUGAUCCGACGGUUCCGUGUGGAAGGGCCGUCGCUAAACGGAUAAAAGUUACUCUAGGAUAACAGGCUGAUCUUCCCCAAGAGUUCACAUCGACGGGAAGGCUUGGCACCUCGAUGUCGGCUCAUCGCAACCUGGGGCGGUAGUACAUCCCAAGGGUUGGGCUGUUCGCCCAUGAAAGCGGUACGUGAGCUGGGUUCAGAACGUCGUGAGACAGUUCGGUCCAUAUCCGGUGUAAGCGUUGGAGCAUUGAGAGGAUUCUUCCAUAGUACGAGAGGACCUGGAAGAACACACCUCUGGUAUACCAGUUAUCACGCCAGUGGUAAACGCUGGGUAGCCAAGUGUGGAGAGGAUAACCGCUGAAAGCAUCUAAGUGGGAAGCCCACCUCAAGAUGAGUGCUCCCUAUGAGGUCACGGCAAGACCAGCCGUUUGAUAGGCAGUAGGUGUACGUCUAGUAAUAGAUUUAGCUGAGCUGUACUAAUAGACCC